AAUCAAAACAAAUAUUAAUUUGCACAGUCUCUGCACUGGGGCAGUUACCAGAGACUGAGCAUUAAUCAGUGAAACAGACAGAUAUGAGGGCCAGCCACGGGUUGUGGAAAGAGGAGGAGCAGAGACAUGGUGAGAGAAGGAGGGCUUAUAGAAAGGCAGGGGCCAAACCAAGUAGGACCAUAUGAGCUGGGCAAUGGGGAGCCACUGGAAGAUUUAUACAGGCAUCACACUUUCCCUGGAUGCUGCGUAGGAAGAAAUUGAAGCCUUCCACAAGUGGAACCAGCUCUCAGCUCCUUUCAGGAAGCAACUAAAUCAGAAAACAGUGUUCUCUCUUCCUUGGAGCUGGCACAGGUUUUGAUAACAUCGAUUGAAUGCCAAGCGUAAGUACAGAUUGGAAGUUAGAAGUAUUGCUAUUGACCGUUUUCUAAUAUGUCCUUCAGCUCAGUAAUUAAUCGAUUUGUGACAAAAUGAAUAAGAAGCUGAGGUCUUCUAAGAGCUUACCAUGUGGCAGACGCGAGCUCAGUGCUGUACAUUCGCAUUCAUGCUCUUCAUCCCUGUCUCUCAAGCCACUCGUCACACCCACACUCUCCGGGCCAGGAGGCUUGCACAACCUGCACUGGGAAACUUUCUCCCACCUGUUCUUGACUCCUGAAACCCCUCCACGGUGCCAUCAGCCUGAUCCACUAAUAGCAAAACGCCUCACAUCCCAAACUAACUUCCAAAUAGUCCCUCCUUGUUCUGACAAA
rnacentral:lncRNA from 1 species